rnacentral:rRNA from 1 species
UACAGGGGGCGCGAGCGUUGCUCGGAAUCACAGGGCGUAAAGCGUACGCAGGCGGAUCGUUAAGUCGGGUGUGAAAGCCCGGGGCUCAACCCCGGAAUUGCAUUCGAUACUGGCGGCCUUGAGUGCGGGAGAGGUGAGUGGAAUUCCUGGUGUAGAGGUGAAAUUCGUAGAUAUCAGGAGGAACACCGGUGGCGAAGGCGGGUCUCUGGGCCGAUACUGACGCUGAGGAGCGAAAGCGUGGGGAGCGAACAGG